UGGACCAAUGAUGACUCCUAGGGUGGGGGUCGGGUCUGAAUCUGACACUGUGAUUAAUCCCUAUCUGGAACUCUGAGGCCCAC
ensembl:snoRNA